rnacentral:rRNA from 1 species
AUUGAACGCUGGCGGCAUGCCUUACACAUGCAAGUCGAACGGCAGCAUGGAGAGCUUGCUCUCUGAUGGCGAGUGGCGAACGGGUGAGUAAUGCAUCGGAACGUACCGUGUAAUGGGGGAUAACGUAGCGAAAGUUACGCUAAUACCGCAUACGACCUGAGGGUGAAAGCAGGGGAUCGCAAGACCUUGCGUUAUACGAGCGGCCAAUGUCAGAUUAGCUAGUUGGUGAGGUAAAGGCUCACCAAGGCGACGAUCUGUAGCGGGUCUGAGAGGAUGAUCCGCCACACUGGGACUGAGACACGGCCCAGACUCCUACGGGAGGCAGCAGUGGGGAAUUUUGGACAAUGGGGGCAACCCUGAUCCAGCCAUGCCGCGUGAGUGAAGAAGGCCUUCGGGUUGUAAAGCUCUUUCGGCCGGGAAGAAAUCGCACAGGCUAAUACUCUGUGUGGAUGACGGUACCAGCAUAAGAAGCACCGGCUAACUACGUGCCAGCAGCCGCUGUAA